rnacentral:miRNA from 1 species
AGUAGGUGCUGUAGAAAUGUUCAAUUUAUUAUUUGUUCCCCUUCCCUGCAGCCAUUGCUGCUGGACUCUGGGGUGUAGCUUG